rnacentral:pre_miRNA from 1 species
UGGAACUGCUGAGUGAAUUAGGUAGUUUCAUGUCGUUGGGCCUGGGUUUCUGAACACAACGACAUUAAACCACCCGAUUCACGGCAGUUACU